rnacentral:lncRNA from 1 species
CUGUACUGAAAUCCAGACGAGUGCCUAAGACGCCCUGCAGACUCCUCCAAAAGCGCGACACAAAUCGGGUGUCUCGAUCCGAUACAAUCGAUGUAGGCACUCCAUGAAGUCGCACAAUCUCAUCGAGGUACACUUGUGCGAGCUUCUCCCCAGUCCAAGUCGUAUGAAUAGGUAGGAAGUGCGCCGACUUCGUCAACCUAUCCACGAUAACCCAAAUAGCAUCAUGCCCGGCCUGCGAGCGGGGCAAUCCUGUCACGAAAUCCAUGGUGAUCUUCUCCCACUUCAAAACGGGAACAGGCAAACUCUGAAGUUUUCCCGCGGGAACGCGAUGCUCAGCCUUUACUUGUUGGCAAGUUAGACAACGAGCUACAAACUCGCCAACGUCCUUUUUCAUCCCGGGCCACCAAUAAAGCAACUUUAAAUCCUUAUACAUCUUGGUGCCACCCGGAUGUAUAGCAUAGGGCACUCGGUGUGCUUCUUGAAGAAUAUCCUCUUUAAUCCCCGAAUUCGCGGGUACACAAAUCCGCCCACGGAAACGCAUCAAUCCCUGAUCAUCCAAAAUGAAGUCGCCGGUGCAACCAUCAACUAUUUUACCUUUAAUCUUUUGCAACUCCACAUCGGAAGCUUGCUUUUCUUUAAUUCUAUCAAAUACUGUAGGUUGCACCACCAAUGUCAUCAACCUCAAAGGCGUGUCAGGAGUCACCACCUCCAACUCCAACUGCUUCAUCUGCUCGAUCAACUGCGGUGGAGUAACUAAAUGCAUCGCUAAGUUUUCAGUCGAUUUCCUAAUUAGCGCAUCUGUCACCAUAUUAGCCUUGCCCAGGUGGUAAAGAAUAGUAAGAUCAUAAUCCUUGAGUAGCUCCAACCAUCUGCGCUGCCUCAAGUUCAACUCCUUCUGAGUAAACAGGUACUUCAAGCUCUUGUGAUCCGUGUACACUUCACACCGCUCGCUAUAAAGAUAGUGGCGCCAUAGCUUCAAUGCGAACACUACAGCCGCCAACUCCAAAUCAUGCAUCGGGUAGUUCUUUUCAUAUUCCUUUAGUUGGCGAGAAGCAUACGCGAUCACCUUGCCAUCCUGCAUCAAUACACAGCCCAAUCCAUUAAGUGACGCAUCACUAUAUACCACAUACCCUGCUCCAGCUACUGGUAGGGUAAAGAUCGGGGCGGUCGUAAAUCUCUGCUUCAACUCUAGGAAGCUUCGCUCGCACGCAUCAUUCCAAAUGAACUUGACUCCUUUAUGCGUGAGCCUCGUGAGGGGAGUGGACAACUUAGCAAAUCCCUCAACAAAUCUCCGGUAGUAACCGGCCAAUCCAAGGAAGCUCCGUAUCUCCGUGACACUCGUCAGUCUCGGCCAACCCUUGAUUGCUUCAAUCUUCUUGGGAUCCACCGCAAUACCUGAUCCUGAAAUCAAGUGUCCAAGGAAAGCUACCUCUCGAAGCCAAAAUUCACAUUUCUUCAACUUGGCAUAAAGCUCCUUUUUCCGAAGUACUUGGAGUACAAUUCUCAAAUGCCCCUCGUGAUCUGUAUCACUUCGAGAGUAGACCAAAAUGUCGUCGAUGAACACCACGACGAACCUGUCUAGAUAAGGCUUGAAAAUAUGGUUCAUUAGAUCCAUAAAAGCGGCUGGGGCAUUAGUCAGCCCAAACGGCAUAACUGUGAACUCAUAGUGUCCAUACCGUGUUCUAAAAGCUGUCUUCGAUACGUCCUCGGGUUUGAUCUUCAAUUGGUGGUAUCCAGACUGCAAGUCUAUCUUGGAAUACACACACGAUCCCUGAAGCUGAUCAAAUAAGUCGUCGAUCCUCGGCAACGGAUACUUGUUCUUGAUCGUGACUUUAUUAAGUUCACGAUAAUCCACGCAAAAGCGAAGUGAUCCGUCUUUCUUCUUGACGAACAAAACGGGUGCUCCCCAAGGUGAAACGCUCGGCCGAAUGAAGUCCUUGUCCAACAAAUCCUGCAACUGUGCCCUUAACUCCCUCAGCUCUGCCGGCGCCAUCCUAUAGGGCGCCUUUGAGAUUGGGGUAGUCCCAGGGACGAGAUCUACCACAAACUCGAUCUCCCUAUCAGGAGGCAUACCCGGUAGCUCAGCUGGAAACACAUCCUGAAACUCCCGCACCACCGGGAUAUCCUCAAUUCUAGGGGUAUCAUCCUCGCCCCUAAACACAACACUAGCCAAGUAGGUUACGCAACCUCUGCUGAUCAGCUGCCUAGCUCGAGACGAGCUGAUCAUCAUCGCAAAUAGCGAACUCCGGCAUCCACAAAAUACCACCUCGGUCUGCCCCGGUUCUCUAAAAGUAACCGUGCGGUUCUUGCAAUCAAUCGUGGCAUAAUACUUGGUCAACCAAUUCAUGCCUAAGACCACGUCAAAAUCCCCCAGCUUGCGCAAUGCUAGCAAAUCUAUAGGCAUGAUCCAAUCUCCUACCCGAACAGGGCAACUGGGGCUAUACUCUCUAAUAUCCAAAACGUGGUCGGGUACAACAACAUGUCCCGUGUGCAACAAAGGAACCAAUGGAAUGCCAUGCAACUCGGCAAACAGCCGAUCUAUAAAUGAAUGCGAUGCUCCAGUAUCAAAUAAAGCACGAACUCUAAUGCCAUUAAGUAAAAUGAUACCUGCAACCACAUCCUCGGCUGCUGCCGCCUCCUCGGUCUGAGCGGCGUACAUGCGCCCACUCGGGGCUUGUCGAGAUCCCUCGCUCUGGAGCUGGACGGGUGGCCGCCCAGGCUGAUACUGCGCUGACGGAAUCCCCUGGCUGGCGACUGGUAGAGCCGGUGCCGAUGCAGUCUACAGUGCUGGUGAAGAACCCCUCGGGCACUCAGUCCGCACGUGGCCCUCCAGGCCACACUAGAAGCACCUGCCCGCCAGCUGUGGACACUGCGGUGGGUGAUGAGGUCCACCACAGAUCACACACGGGGAGGGCCGGCGUCGGUCAUAGCCUCCUCGUUGAGCUGUUGAGCCGCGUCCACGCUGCUGGCUCUUCGGAUGCUUCGGCGGCCUCUUAGAGUGCGUCUGGCUCGCACCCUCAGCCGCAGGCCUCUUGGCCUUGCCUUUGUCCAUGGCCUCACGCCGCUUCUGUACCUCUGCCGCGUCGCUCUCCACAAUGAGCGGGCGAUCCACCACCUCCCGGUAGGUUUGGAGGUUAGAGGAUUGCACAAACCGGAAGAUCGACGGUCGCAACCCUCGCUUGAAGAUACGGGCCUUGUCCUCGUCGUCCCGCACGACGAAGGGCACGCAGUGUAGAAGCCGAGAAAACUCCUUCUCGUACUCGGCUACGGUGCGGUCUCCCUGGCGCAAGCUGUGCAGAUCCUGCUCCAUCUUCCUCUUGACGCUAGUCGGGAAGUAGUGCGCCAAAAGAAGCUCCUUGAACCUCGUCCAAGUGAUAGCUGCCAAGUCUAUGCGGGGGUUCUACUGGAGAUCCAACCACCAGCGGUAGGCCUCACCAUCCAAGUGGUGAGUGACGGGCCAAACUCUGUCCCUCUCCUCCACGAACGUGUCGCGGAAGAGCUUCUCCAUUUGCAUCAACCACUUCUCCACGAUCCAGUGGUCGACCUCCUCGCCGUCGAAGACUCGGGGGCUGCACCUCCUGAACUCAUUGAGGCGCUCCAUCAGUCUAUCUCGCUCCGCCCCCUCGACCAAUGUAGGGAAUGCCGCUCCAGCUGGGGGCCUCUGAACAAGUGGUGCCGCCAAAACCUCCUCCUGGGGUACGGCCACAGGCGCCGCACGUGAAGAACUGGGCGCGGGGGACAGCGCUCUCGGUGCAACAUCCACAACGGGUGCUGGCGGUGUAGGGGCCUGCGUCUCCCUAGAAGCUGCCGCCUGCUACAAUAGUAGGUCCUCCAGACGCUUCAUCAGCGCCUCCUGUCAGCGUGCCGCCUCAGUCUACUGUCGAGCCGCCUCCGCCUGCUGAAUGACUAAAUUAGUGAGGGCCGCAAGCUAGCCCCUCAACUCACGGACCUCGCUGGAUCCGGAGGUAGCGGAGGUCUCGACCUCCUCAAAGUUUGCCGCAUUGUCCGCCCCGGUAGAUUGGGAGCGAGUAAUCGGCAUCGUCACUACAACAUCAUAAAAGUGUAAGUUUGUAAAACCCACGCCAACGCAUCCCCGCUUAAAAGACAAUACCCAAAUCAUGCGAAAGCAAGAAAGUGUUAUCCACAACUAACUCCCGAUGUUACGUUGUCGGCCGCCAACGUAACCCUCCGCGAGGUUAGAAGCCAUACACUUCGAUUCAACUCUAACUUUUUAGAGUUAUCAAGAUACCCAAUAAAGGUACUUUCGCUCACAAAUCAAAUAGACCUCGUCUCUCACGAGCCUAUUUCCUAUAGUCCAACCGGCCUAAGGUUUCCUAGGUCCCCUAAGACUCAACCCUAGGCUCUGAUACCAAAUUAAUCUGUCACGCCCCGGGGCUCAGCGGAAGCCUACCCGGCACGUGUCCAGACCCGCCAUAAAUUUUGAUAAAUAAAAUAAUAAUACAAAGUGAUCUAGUGAUAUCAGAGCUUUGUACAACUAGUUCUAUAACAAGGAAAAGGACAUAAAGCUGGAAAUACACUAAAUACAAAAAAAACAUAAAGUAACUACGAUAGGAAUCCAUAACAAGUGCUAAACAAAGUACAAGGUGGUCUCUCUAUACAUGGUACAAAACCUCUCCCUCUCUCUAACACAAAUAAAGAAGGAGUAACCACCUAGCGCAAAAGAACUCUCCCCGAGCUAGCUAUGCGACACCCUUGCCGCGAUCCCGUGCCUCCGCCGAUGCGAAGGCUCUGAAGAAGAAACAUAGAAAUAGGGGUGUGAGAACUAUUAAUUAAUAGUUCCCAGUGGGCAAUUACUGGCUUCAGUGAAAUGCACCACUAGGCCCAACUACAAAAGAGGGUCAGUGUAAAUAAAUAACCAAAAGGGAUAAAUGCAACGGAUAAGUAAAAAUGAAUACCAUAUAACCAUGAUGUCUCUACUUAGCUUUAUUUGCAUAAGUAAGAAAACUGCUACUAUGAGUAUAUGCACAUGAAUAUCGAACAUGUAAACGCAUGAAUAUGCAACUAACCCAAUGUCCACAGGGUAAUAGUAAAGAUGACAUUUCUUACUAUUCUAGUCGAUGUUCACUUUAACAGUUCAAGGUUCAACUCUGAUAAGCCCACCCGAAGGCUGUCUGGCAUAAGACCCACCCGUAGGCUGUCUGGCUCUACCGUGCCUAGUGGCCCCGUGGUAGUCAACAUUCCCACCCUAGGAAUGAGCCUUUCUCACGGUAAUCCACUGCGGCGCCCAAUCCUGCACGGCGAACGCAUCGCAAUGGCCAACUCCGGAGUGCCGGCUUGUAGGGAGCGACCCUCACAAGCAUGUGCGAAUGAGCACAAUGGCAAGCAUGCUAUCAGUAUGUCUCAAGUACCAAGUCCUCAUGUCUACAACAUGUAAUAUAUCACAACUCUCUCAUAGGCCUAUCUCUAUGUCAUCAUGUCUAAAACAUGGAAAUAAUAGUUGCUCAUGGCCUAUCUCUAUAUCUCAAUACAAUAGUCUCAUAAUGUGCUAGUCUAAGUGCCCCUUUAUGAUACUUUCGUUUACUAAGUCCAAGCUUAACCCAAAGGUUCAUGAAUGCUUAAUUAAGUCAUUCUAAACACAUAGAACAUGAUUCUAAACGACUAGCAUGAGCACUACCCAAAUGCAUGCAACAACACCCGCAAUGCUCUACUAUAUAGAGUGAAAAUUUUCUUAUACAUAACACAUGCAUUUUAGGGGUUCUAAAAUUCACAUAAAUUCCAUUUAGCAUAGAUUUGCAUUUAAAAAAAAGUAUACGAAAUGUUUAGAAAGCUUAGGGGCCAUUUCGCCCCGUUUUCAUGAAGCCAAACCCACCAAAAUCGACUUCCUCGUUUCGCCGAACGAAGGUAUCCACAAGCUUCCUAGUACCCUAGAAGCAUCAAAAGUAGGGUUACCCGAACGAAACGAGGAGCCAAUAGCUUAAUCAUUAACCAUCUAGCAAAAGGGUCAAAACUCACCUCUUGUGAAGAAAUCCCUAAACAAGCUUCCAAAGAGAGCUAGAAUCCUUCCAAUCCCACCUAAAGGAAGAUUCUAAACCCAUCUAUUAGGUUCCAAAGCCCUCAAAACGAAAAUCCCCAAAUCUAACCCUAAAUCCCAAAAUCUAGAGUUUCAAACAAAAGAACCAUCAAAACUAGAUCUAGAAGAAAGGAUCUAGUUACUAACCUCUUAUAAACUUCAAACCAAGCUCCAAGGUCCCAAGGGUUGAAGAUCCUCCCUCCACAAAGCUCUAAUCCCGAGCUCCAGGCUUCUCUCAUGGACGAAACCCAACAAGAAGCAAGAAAAGCAAGGAGGAGGAGAUAAAAACCCACUAAAAUCCAUCAAAAAUGGAAAAGAACUCAAGAGAGGGAGUUCUUACCUCUUCUCCACUGGUCUAGGGCUCAAAAGAGCAGCUAAGGGGGCUCUGGUGGUAUUUAAAGAGGUUGCAACAAUUGCAAAUACACCCCUCCCCGAAAACAGCCCAGUCUGCAUUGUGUACCGGUACACGGAAAAGUGUACCGGUACACUUCCUACGAAACAGCCCAACCCGAGCCUCGGGUUGGCCGAAAACCCGAAAUGUACCGAUACAACCAUCAAGGUGUACCGGUACAAAUCCUGUACCGGUACAACCAUCAAGGCUGUACCGGUACACAACCUGGCUGAGGCUAACCCAAGAGUAGGACCAACAAUCCAUCUUUUUGGAUUUUGGUAUAAGCUUUAAACCUCAAUUCUCGAGGUGCGAGCCAUAGGUCGGAACACUGUCAACGACCUUCCAGAAUAACUGGCAAAGCUCGGAACGUGGAUCAAACACUCGAACCUCGCUAUUUGCAACGGUUCAGUGUGUUACAUGACGUGGGCACUCCGUGAAGUCGCACAAUCUCAUCAAGGUACAAUUGUGUGAGCUUCUCCUCAGUCCGAGUUGUAUGAAUAGGUAUGAAGUGCGCCGACUUCGUCAACCUAUCCACGAUCACCCAUAUAGCAUCAUGCCCGGCCUGAGAGCGGGGCAGUCCAGUCACGAAAUCCAUGGUGAUCUUCUCCCACUUCCACACUGGAAUCG